rnacentral:pre_miRNA from 2 species
UCUUAUGAAUGAGCAAAGAAAGUGGUCUCUUGAGAUGGAGUCUACUCUUGGUAAAGAUGUUGUGAA